GCACGCGCCGUGUCAACCGGACGUGGCGGUACAGGGCACAGGUUAGGUUUUUCCGGUUUCCCGCCUGGCCAGGGGAAUGGCUCCCACCCUUGUCCCGUCCGGCGC
rnacentral:sRNA from 1 species